rnacentral:rRNA from 1 species
UACGGGGGGAGCAAGCGUUGUUCGGAUUUACUGGGCGUAAAGAGCGCGCAGGCGGUCAGAUAAGUCGAAUGUGAAAGCCCCCGGCUCAACUGGGGGAGGGUCAUUCGAUACUGUUCGACUCGAAGGCAGGAGAGGGAAGUGGAAUUCCUGGUGUAGCGGUGAAAUGCGCAGAUAUCAGGAGGAACACCGGUGGCGAAGGCGGGUCUCUGGACCGAUACUGACGCUGAGGAGCGAAAGCGUGGGGAGCGAACAGG